GCCGCGGAGGCGGCGGGGCAGCGGCGGCGGCGGCGCUGGAAGUUCCCUUGUUCCAGCGUCGCCAGAAUGGGAAGCAAACGAAGCCAAAAUGCCCCCGGGGAGCGCGGCCCCGCUGGGGAGGCCCGGCGCUUCCACACCCCCGCCUCGCGGCUCCCCCGUAGCCCAGCCCGCUCCCUCGGAGCCAGCCGGGGACCUCGGGGCGCUGCCAGGGGCUUUGGCAUCUGCGCGAGCGAUGGAUAAGAGGAGUGUUGUCAACGGCAGGACGAGCGAUAGAUGGUGAUGCCUGCAACCUAUGGCUGAACUGGAGGUAAAUCUCUAGCGGAUCGAUAACCUACCGAAGGUUCCUGAAAGGCUGCAACAUUGUACGGAGCCCGGUUAGAGGUUACAUAGUUUCUUUAUUUAAUGUUUGCUACCUUGAGGAUACUGAAUAAAACCCGAUGGUUUGUGCUGUAACUGCUUCUUAGCUGCUUACAGGAAAAAGAAAAAACAAAGCCGGUGUCCGCUGAUAAUUAGCUUUUUUUAAAAAAAUCCAUAUCUGAUGAGGGAUUUAAAGGAGCAUGAUUCGUUGUCUUUAGGUUUGCAACGUGUCCGUCCUUUUUCUGGUCGAGUUGGGGCCUUGCAAGAACGAAUGUGUUUGUCGACAAUAAGAAUGAAUUUAGCAGGGAUCAAUGUAAACAGAUCAAGCUGUAAUUUUUAAAUAUUUCUUUAGCCUCAGUUAUUAACCAAUGCAACUUGUGAAGCAAAGACAAAAGUAUAUUUGAAAUCGUACAGAAACUACACAAAGAACUAUUUUUUUCCUGUACUUAAAACUCCCCGAAAUUCUCAACUAUCUAACUUUCAACAAAAUUAAAUUUGAACAAGAUUUCUGUGCAGCUGAGAGUAACCUGUGUUGAGCAUUUUUGUAUGUAUUUCCAAGGCCUGCAAGCUCUGUGUAAAAGCUCGAGCUUUGUGCUUGACAUGGUGAGAAAGCUUCGCUGCAAUCACCCUUCUGCUUUAUUGAAGAAAUGUUACCCUGAAAGGUUAAAGAAAAGUGAUGUUUUAUCAUCCUAUUUCCAUUGUCUUAUUAUAAAAACUAUAUUUAUAUAAUGGAUGUAUAGAUGCUGUGCAUUUUUUAUAUACAAUUAUCACAUGUCCUGAAAAAUCUUUAAAAUUCUAAUCUAGAAUUUGUUAUCAUUAAGAUAAAUUAAUUUUGUAGGAUAGAUUAUUUUUUUAAUAAAAAGAAAAGUAAGACUGUAUGUACUAGAUUUGAUCACUGUAUCUGUAGCUAUGAUCACUAUGUAUUUUAAAAGUACAUGUAUCUCUUUCCCUAGAUUUGUUACAAUAACCACUCUGUUUCAGCUUCAUUUUAAAUCCACACUUCAAAUAAUUAAAAAGGAAAUGAAAUAAUAUUUAAUGUCUAAUAAAGAUUUUAAAAAUAAAGUGACUUGAAUCUUUUCUUAGCAA